GUCCCUGUAGCGCAAUGGAUAGCCCUUUGGAUUUCUCAUCCAAAGGUCGUGGAUUCGAAUCUCACCUGAGAUG